GCCGGGAUGUCGGAACUGGUAGACGAAAUGGACUUAAAAUCCAUCGGGGAAUCUCUCCGUGCGGGUUCGAGUCCCGCUCCCGGCACCA
rnacentral:tRNA from 1 species